AGUGAACGCUGGCGGUAUGCCUAACACAUGCAAGUCGAACGGCAACACAGUAAGAGCUUGCUCUUACGGGUGGCGAGUGGCGUACGGGUUAGGAAUACAUCGGAAUCUACUUUUUCGUUGGUGAUAACGUAGGGAAACUUACGCUAAUACCUCAUACGACCUACGGGUGAAAGCAGGGGAUCUUCGGACCUUGCGCGAUUGAAUGAGCCGAUGUCGGAUUAGCUAGUUGGCGGGGUAAAGGCCCACCAAGGCGACGAUCCGUAGCUGGUCUGAGAGGAUGACCAGCCACACUGGAACUGAGACACGGUCCAGACUCCUACGGGAGGCAGCAGUGGGGAAUAUUGGACAAUGGGCGCAAGCCUGAUCCAGCCAUACCGCGUGGGUGAAGAAGGCCUUCGGGUUGUAAAGCCCUUUUGUUGGGAAAGAAAAGCAGCAGGUUAAUACCCCGCUGUUAUGACGGUACCCAAAGAAUAAGCACCGGCUAACUUCGUG
rnacentral:rRNA from 1 species